rnacentral:tRNA from 1 species
AGGCGAGUGGCGCAAUCGCGGAGCGCACCGCUCUCACACAGCGGAGGUUGCGGGUUCGAGUCCCGCCUCGCCUA